rnacentral:rRNA from 1 species
AGCCUACGGGGGGCAGCAGUGGGGGAUAUUGCACAAUGGGGGAAACCCUGAUGCAGCGACGCCGCGUGAGUGAAGAAGUAUUUCGGUAUGUAAAGCUCUAUCGGCAGGGAAGAAAAAGCGCGCGAGCGCCCUUGACAGUACCUGACUAAGAAGCCCCGGCUAACUACGUGCCAGCAGCCGCGGUAAUACGUAGGGGGCAAGCGUUAUCCGGAUUUACUGGGUGUAAAGGGAGCGGAGGCGGCCAUGCAAGUCAGAAGUGAAAAACCGGGGCUCAACCCUGGGCGGGCUUUUGAAAAUGUGCGGCG